rnacentral:rRNA from 1 species
UAGGGAAUCUUCGGCAAUGGACGGAAGUCUGACCGAGCAACGCCGCGUGAGUGAAGAAGGUUUUCGGAUCGUAAAGCUCUGUUGUAAGAGAAGAACGAGUGUGAGAGUGGAAAGUUCACACUGUGACGGUAUCUUACCAGAAAGGGACGGCUAACUACGUGCCAGCAGCCGCGGUAAUACGUAGGUCCCGAGCGUUGUCCGGAUUUAUUGGGCGUAAAGCGAGCGCAGGCGGUUAGAUAAGUCUGAAGUUAAAGGCUGUGGCUUAACCAUAGUACGCUUUGGAAACUGUUUAACUUGAGUGCAAGAGGGGAGAGUGGAAUUCCAUGUGUAGCGGUGAAAUGCGUAGAUAUAUGGAGGAACACCGGUGGCGAAAGCGGCUCUCUGGCUUGUAACUGACGCUGAGGCUCGAAAGCGUGGGGAGCAAACAGGAUUAGAUACCCUGGUAGUCCACGCCGUAAACGAUGAGUGCUAGGUGUUAGACUCUUUCCGGGGUUUAGUGCCGCAGCUAACGCAUUAAGCACACCGCCUGGGGAGUACGACCGCAAGGUUG